ensembl:lncRNA
AGCCGACUCUGGAAUUGAGAUGGGUUUGGUGGAUCCUAGAAGGAUUGUGCAGAUGCAGGAGUUGACCAAGUGGAAUUGCUGUAAACGUUGGCCAGCAAGAAGCAGCGUCACUUGUAGAAUCUUGGGCCUUUCUCCUGACCCCUGCAGGGAUUCGGAGACCGAGCCCCAGGAAGCUAAUACACAGCCGCCAGGUUCUUGCCUGGAAGCCACCCAAUGCAGUAAGAGACCCACUCGUCCACAGAAGUAGAUUUCGAAGGAUCAUCUGCCCUGCAGCUGUCAAAGAACUUAACUGGAGGUGGAGUCAGCCUCGAGGCCUUCCUCAGAAGGGGUUGGAGGGCUUGCCGUCCUGCAGAGUCAUGUCCUCAGGGAGGUCCUCUCUUCAUUCCAGUUUCUGGGGCUGGAUGCCGGCGUCUUGUAGCACCGGCCACAGAGCGUCGUGCACCUGAAGACAAGAAUCAGAGGGAGUUUUCCUCCGCCUCCUGCUUCAGGCGCUGCCACUUGCGCUGCGCUUCUGGGGCUAAACGCCGGCUUUCUGGCGCGUGACCUACACCUCGGUGCUGUGCUUGGCCUGUGAACCAAGAAGAUGUGUUCUGCCCUACAGAAGCUGGUGACCCAGAGGAAGAAGAGACAAGUAAGUGAGAAAUUUUAAGAAUUACCAAGGAAUACUGCACGUGGGAUUAAAUAGUGUGCUACAGGAGCAUACAAAUAGGAGAAAUGGCCGCUGGAAGAGGGAAAACACUUCUGGAGGUAAAGCCAUCUGAGCUACAACAGGAAGCUGUACCAGACGCCCACCAUGUCGCGGGCACGGAUUAGGCUCUGGACAUGUAAGGGUGAACAGAGCCUGGUCUGAAGGAUGAGGUAGAGUGUAGUCCGACAAGGGAUAGAGAGAAUGACCUGAGCUAUUUCAGUAGGUUGGUGACGUUCAGUGGGGUGUGUGGGCCAUCGUGGUGGACAUGAUGUCUGGGCCGUUGAUUGAGGGCAAGUGCAUGGCAGUUUGGGGAUGUUCUGAGAGGGAACAGCAUCAGCAAGGCCAUUGGGAAAAAGUGGACCUCCAGUGCGGGUGUGUAUACUUCAGUGUGAUGGGAGUGCUUAGCUUGGAGCUGGGGGCAGUGGUGUAUGAGAAAUGCUUAGUGUGGCAAUUGUGGUGAGCCAGAUAGUUUUGGUGAAUCACCAGGCGAUUUGAUCACAUUGUGCUCAUUAAGGAUCACCCCAACAGCAGGAUGGUGAAAGGACUUGAAACCCACUUUGGCAUCAUUGAUACCCCAGGGGUGCCCGCACGCCUCAUGCUCUCUUCUCUCCGCCAGUGUUCCGGGAAGGGAGAAACACGGAUUCAAAACCCAGAGAGGGAGCACUGGGAGCAGAACGACCUGUUACCCGGUUUCCCCUGUAGACAGAGGGCUUUGGUGCGGAUUUAUCCGUCCGCAUUUAGGACCGAUGAUAGAAUCAUUGCUUUGUUUUAUCCCUUCCAUGACACAAACCAAGAAAAAAAAAAAAUCAUAAUAAAAUUUUACAAGUUAGCUGCCACCACGAAUAAACACGAGAGCACUAUAAGAAAUGAAUCAGAGGCUCUAACCCAAUCUCCUCUCAGGACAAUAACUCUAAUGUAAAGCCGGUCCGAGGAGGUCGCCGUGGAAAACCCUCUGGGGGCAUUUCCGCGGAGAAAGGAGAUAUUCUCCUCCUGUCGUCUCCACUUCCCGUCCUAAUACGUCUGCAGAUGUGCGGAGAAAACGCAAUCUGCAGCCUCUGCUCUGCAUCAAGGUUUGGCUAAGCAGGGCCACAGAGGCCUCUCCGAGGAUCAUGGAAUUAACCCUCUCUGAACCUGGGGACGCCGUGGCCACUAACGCAGCAGAGGCACGUUCCUUGAUUCUAAUCACAGCUGAGCCCAGAUGUCACUUGCCAUUAGGUUCAAUUGGCAUUUUUUUUUUCCUUUUUAAAUUACAAGAUUACCUUUAAAUUGUGUACAGGAGCUCAUAACCACUGUCCACUGGCGGUAAUCGGGAGUGAUUUCAUUUUACUCAUGGAAAGACUGCCUCGCCUCGAGUCUCUGUUCAUUAAGCCUCUGUCUCUCUCAGGUUCCACUUAGGUAUCAAAGAGGAGUAAAUUCUGCAGCACUGAAGGCAUUGUAUGUUUGCUUUUAGAAUCAGCCUCUUUGGCUGGCUGAUGAUUCUUUAGAGCAGGCUAGGUUCUCCAGGAGCCUGUCAUGUCUACAUGGCAAACACGCUUUCUGUCUGUCGCCUGGGUGGUCUUUUUGGCAGCGAUUGCUGCCUUGGGCUGUCCCCUCGAACUCUCCAGAAAUGUCGCUUGAGUCUAAAACUCUCGUCACUCUUUGCUGCCUUCAGUUGAAGCAAACUUAUGUUAACUAUUUGUAGACCCAGUCAUAGCAUCAUUCACAUACUCAUACAUUCAUUCAUUCAUUUAUUUGACAUAAUUAUUAUGCAUCCGUUGCAUGUAUGAUGUUGAGCCUGGCACUGGGUACAUUGGUGAGCUGGGACCUUACAACCUAGUGGUACAUGGACAGAAUUACACAGGCUCUUCCAUUACAGUGUGAAGAGUGGACAGCCCAGCUUAACGUGUGUUUUUUAUUGAGGGCACAAGCAAGGUUCCUCAGAGAGAAUUCCAUCCAGGCUGGGUUGUGAAGAUUGAAGAGAGUUUUACCAGCCAAGGGAACAGUCUUACACGUGUCUAGAGGAAGUUCAGAGAGGGUGAGACUGGAGAGCAGGUGUUCAUGUAUGAAGCAAGCAGCACAGCGGGUCAGGUUGUUAAGGAAGGAUGCAAGUGGAGAGAGACAGGGAUCGUAUCAGAAGGGGCUUCGUAAGCCCCCAAAAUGAGCAUAUACUUGGUUGUCCGGACAGAGAACAGAGGGGAGGGGUGUGAGCAGAGGUGCGUUGUGUAAGCAUCACUGUGGACUUCGUACUCGUAGUAAAGGACUGGCUCUGUGGAGAGCUGGUGUGUCUGCAAACCCAAUGAGACCUCAUACGCAACAUCCUUUUCCCCAAAACAGCCUCUGAGCAGUUGCACCUUUUGAUUUUUAUCUUUUCCCCCAAGCACGCCCUCUAUACUCCAUUUAUUUCAAUUCUGCAUGUGAUAGAAUCGAGUUGCAGUAAGAACCCUUCUAAAGAGAUUCACAGCCAAGAGUCGAAGGUCUAACAAGAGUGAAUACAUGUGGCCCAAGACCCUAGCCAGAGACCCUUGGUUACCUGGGGAAGUGCUAGGAUUUACCAUGGCAAAUGAAUUAAAUGGCUGUAUUGUCAAGUCCUUCUUCUUUACUGACAGAAAAUGUUUAAAAACCUGGCUUAUGAGUUAUAAGCCAGCAGAUGUUGGAGAGACCGCUGGACUUGGAGUCUUAUGAUUCAAGUUGAAGUUCAGUUAUGUCACUUUGUAGCUUAGAAAGCUUAUAAGACUUGGUAGUACCAUUUUUUUCUAUGUAAAAAAUUAAUGUCGCUCUUAUAGCCCAAUGUGUUGUGGGGACUCAGUGACAAAUGCAUAGCAUAUGGUGGAUAUUUAUUGGAUGAAUGGAAAUGAAAUAGAAUUGGAGAAGCCCCAGACUCUCUAGGCUAUAGUCUCCUUGUCUGUGAAAUGAGAAGAUUGGCUUAGAUGCUUUUGAACUCUAACUCCAAUGAUCUAUAAUUCCUUGCCAGUGGCCUACUUUGUGGGCACGUACCGACCAAUGUGCUAAUAAACAUAGGAGAAAUUGAUUUGGUAUCUGAUAAAGCCAAAGGACAAGGAAUAACAGAUUUCUAAGAGAAGAAACCCUAGUGACUGCUCUGGCCCCACUAAAAUGGCUCUCAUCCCAAAAGCCAGCUGAUGAGAAGAAUGCUUAUUUGCCGCUGUCACUGGCUUCACUUGACUUCUCUGGUGAAAGCUUGGUCUCAGAGGAUGCAACUGACAGCAAAUUUCCUGUAAGACCACUUUGCACUGUAGGAAAAAACGGCUUUAUCCUUUUAUGUGGUCUCAUGAAACACUGUUGAUGCACUGCUCAUGCAAAAAAACCUUCAUGUUUCUUCUCGAGUAAGGACUCAAAGAGAGACAAUUCUGAGCACAGAAAAUCUGAUAUCUGAUGUUGAAUACAUGUUCCUGCUGGCUUUUGAAAGGUGAUUUGACUUGGAACUUAAACACCUCUGGGAGUGACCCUCUCUCGACAGCACCUUUGAUGUGUAUGCAUUCCAUCCUCACUGUAGCUAAAGCAUUGCUUCUUUCUUAUUGGAGAGACAUGGUUGUUACUCAGUAUUUAGUGACUCAGCCGAUGGGCCUUUCCUGUGGUGCUGUAGCUAAAGAAUAGCCACAUGGGAAACUGUUCCAAAGAUAGGAAAAUGGAAACUUUGGGGAAGUUAGAUAGCUCGUCUGUUUCGGAACGACUUACGUAUGCCCUAAUCACAGUUGAACUAACUCUUGGCCACAGCGGAUUAUCUUCUAUGUUGUUGGGGCCUGGGGCCUGAUGUUUUCUGUAUUUUCCAUAUUUUCUCUUUUGGAUGCUUCAGAGAAGGCUGACUGUGAUGUUGAUCACGUAGGACUGUCCAGAUUCCCAUCCUAGAAGACCGUCUUCAGACCUUAGGGAAUAAAGCUGCAAGUCAGCCACUGGAGAUGGUGUGAGUGGAUUAGAGAACCCGUUUCAGCAUCCCUUUCCCUGGGAGUCUGAGAUGAUCUCUCUCUAGGUUGCUUCCCUAGCACGCAGCCCCACGGCCCCCAACACACACUUUGCUGCAGUCUUUCCUCUGAUGGCCAUCUCUCAGCUUGGGCUUCACAUUCCCAGAACAUAGAUCCCUACCCAGCUGCUUGCUCGCUCCUGCAGUGCAUUGUCUGGCACAUAGUAGGUCCACAAAAUAAUUUCCAGUAAAGGAGAGAGAUCUGUUCGUGUUGCAUUUUAGUGGUCUGUCUGCUUUACUUGAUUGCAAGCUCCUUGAAAUAAUAGAGGCUUCAUUUUUUCAAAAAUAUGGUAUAUUAGAAAAGUACCAGUUGCUAGACAGUGCUCAGUAAUUAUUUACUGAAUGAGUGAGUGAAUGAAUGAAUGAAUGAAUACACAUUACCCCUCCCCGCAGAAAAACAAUUUGAAAGGGAAGAAAGUGAUCAGACUGGUUACCUAAAACCUUAGCCCUCAAACUCCACUCACUGCCCAGAACAGGUAACUUGUGCUAAAAAUGCUAAAAAUGGUUCUUAAAUUAGUCCAUCUACUUCUUUAUUCUGAGUCAUCAAGCCACUUGGUAUGCAUGAGUGUAUUUUAAGAAUCUGGCACUGAAACCAUUCCAGUAUCUACUACUUAAAAAAAAAUGAAAUUCUAUUGAGGUGUAAUUGACAGACAAUAACCUGCACAUUUUAAAAAUGUGCAAUUUGAUAAUUUGAUAUAUGUAGACACUAGGGAAACCAUUACACCAAAUCAUGGACAUAUCCGUUACCCUCUCAAAGUUUCCUUAUGUUCCUUUGUAAUCACACCUUCCCAUCAGGCAAUCACUGAUCUGCUUUCUCUCACUGUACAUUAGUGUGCAUUUUCUAGAAUUGUGUAUAAAUGGUAUUAAAUAUGUGUAAAUGGUGUGUUCUCAUUUUUGUUUGGCUUCCUUCAUUUACCACAAUUAUUUUGAAAUGAAUCCAGGUUACAGUGUGUAGCAGGAGUUUAUUCUAGUUUUGCUGAGAAGUAUUCCUUUAUAUGAUGACAUAUCUGUUUAAUCAUUCACCUGUUGGGGAUUUUGGGGGAGUUUCCAGGUUGGCUCUGUUAUAAACUAGGCUUCUA